rnacentral:snRNA from 1 species
AGAGCAAUUACUACAUUAUUGAUUUGAAAUAGUCCGAAUCUUCUUAUCACCGUAAUAUCUAAUGCCAGUCUUAUUUGGACCCUUUUUGUUUCCUUUUUUUUUUUUUUUUAAUGUGGCCAAGUGUUUGAAGCUUGCUUCACCUUUCUCACGGGUUGACCCGGUAUUGCACUGCCUCCGGGAUCGACCCACCACGA